GACGAACGCUGGCGGCGUGCUUAACACAUGCAAGUCGAACAGUAAGGCCCUUCGGGGUACACGAGUGGCGAACGGGUGAGUAACACGUGGGUGAUCUGCCCUGCGCUUCAGGAUAAGCCUGGGAAACUGGGUCUAAUACCGGAUAGGACCACUGCCUGCAUGGGUGGUGGUGGAAAGCUUUUGCGGUGUGGGAUGGGCCCGCGGCCUAUCAGCUUGUUGGUGGGGUGAUGGCCUACCAAGGCGACGACGGGUAGCCGGCCUGAGAGGGUGACCGGCCACACUGGGACUGAGAUACGGCCCAGACUCCUACGGGAGGCAGCAGUGGGGAAUAUUGCACAAUGGGCGCAAGCCUGAUGCAGCGACGCCGCGUGAGGGAUGACGGCCUUCGGGUUGUAAACCUCUUUCAGCACCGACGAAGCGCAAGUGACGGUAGGUGCAGAAGAAGGACCGGCCAACUACGUGCCAGCCGCCGCCGUAA
rnacentral:rRNA from 1 species